rnacentral:tRNA from 1 species
GCCCUUGUAGUCUAGCACGGUCAAGGAUUCUGGCCUUUCAAGCCAGGGACCCGGGUUCAAAUCCCGGCGAGGGCA